CAAAGGAAGAACGGCAUCUGAAACUGCAGAUCUUGAGUGUAGGAGGGGAGAGUGGAACUUCUGGUGGAGCGGUGAAAUGCGUAGAUAUCAGAAGGAACGUCGGCGGCGAAAGCGACUCUCUGGCCUAUUACUGACACUGAGUGUGCGAAAGUUAGGGGAGCAAACGGGAUUAGAUACCCCGGUAGUCCUAACUGUAAACGAU
rnacentral:rRNA from 1 species